rnacentral:rRNA from 1 species
UACAGAGGGUGCAAGCGUUAAUCGGAAUUACUGGGCGUAAAGCGUGCGCAGGCGGUGAGCUGUGUCCGAUGUGAAAUCCCCGGGCUCAACCUGGGAACUGCAUUUGUGGCUGCAUCGCUGGAGUGCGGCAGAGGGGGAUGGAAUUCCGCGUGUAGCAGUGAAAUGCGUAGAUAUGCGGAGGAACACCGAUGGCGAAGGCAAUCCCCUGGGCCUGCACUGACGCUCAUGCCCGAAAGCGUGGGGAGCAAACAGG